GAUGAACGCUGGCGGCGUGCCUAAUACAUGCAAGUCGAGCGAACAGAUGAGGAGCUUGCUCCUCUGACGUUAGCGGCGGACGGGUGAGUAACACGUGGAUAACCUACCUAUAAGACUGGGAUAACUUCGGGAAACCGGAGCUAAUACCGGAUAAUAUAUUGAACUGCAUGGUUCAAUAGUGAAAGACGGUUUUGCUGUCACUUAUAGAUGGAUCCGCGCCGCAUUAGCUAGUUGGUAAGGUAACGGCUUACCAAGGCAACGAUGCGUAGCCGACCUGAGAGGGUGAUCGGCCACACUGGAACUGAGACACGGUCCAGACUCCUACGGGAGGCAGCAGUAGGGAAUCUUCCGCAAUGGGCGAAAGCCUGACGGAGCAACGCCGCGUGAGUGAUGAAGGUCUUCGGAUCGUAAAACUCUGUUAUUAGGGAAGAACAAAUGUGUAAGUAACUAUGCACGUCUUGACGGUACCUAAUCAGAAAGCCACGGCUAACUACGUG
rnacentral:rRNA from 1 species